GGAAUACAUAGGAAAUAUUGAUGGCUUACUAGAAAGCAGAAAAAAAGCACAAACGCAGAGAUAUAGCAUGCUACGUUUUGCAUCAUAGAGAAUUGAAACCUUCUUCAUCUCAUCUUAGGCCAAGAAGCUAUUCUUAUUAUCGCAGUAUAAUGAUUAAAACUGCCUCUUACUUUUUGUAGGUUUCUUUUGCUGCAUCAAAUCAGGAUUGAACCAAAAAGGUGGCAGAUCAAAGUGUUGAUGGGAUACUGAGCUGUCACUGGUUUCAGUGGUUUAGGAAGUUCCCUUUGAAGAAGAUAGACUGGGAAUUAAAGGUCACAUGGUGUGAGUUAUUUGUAUUUCCUUUAUGUGCUUGGCCAUUAUGGCCUCGUUAUGAUAGGAUUUUCUUGGGGUUUACGAAGAAAAAUUUCCGUUUGCUGCUGUAGAGGUGGAAAAAUAAAGCAGCAACAGUCUGGCUCCAAGCUGAUUGGAGGGAGCUAAGAUUCUUUCUUGACAUUGAUCUCUAUAGGGAAGCCGGGAACUUCUGUGAUGGUUGUUAAAUGGAAGGAACGUUUUGAUUCUUCCUCUUAAUUAUGUUAUUUGGCAGCUUCAACUUUAAAGUUAUUGUGCUAUUUGCCGUCCAAGCAAGAAAGGAGGUCAGUUCUUCAGUCACAACAUUUUUUAUUGAUAAGAUUUACAUUUUAUUAAAUUAGAUUAUGAGGUAGAAUCCCUAUUUUUUGUUGAGGUGCCUUCUAAUUCUGUCAGGUCGGUGCAAAAGUUAGGAAUUAUGAAUUUACUUUUUGAGGUCUCAUGAUUUCAUGCCGUUUAAGCUCAAAACCAAAAACCUGUUAAUAGCAUUGGGGAAAGUAUAUAACUUAGCCGCUAGUAGUAAAAGAUAAAAUUUGGAAAUCUACAAGCCUGGAUCAUAUAGAAAUAUUGCUGGUGAAAAGCAAUUGCAACAUUGAGGACCCUCCUAUUUAUUUGCAAUUAUAAAGCUACUGAACCAAUAAGAUUUAGUUUAGUGGUUAGUUCCUCUCCCCUUUAAUGGAAGGGUGAGGGUUUCAAAAGCGACGAGUCACGUAGGGCAAAGCAAAUAUAUAUAUAUGUAACCAUCAAUAAACAUCCAAAAAUACUACAUGCUACAUAAUUUAUGCUGUUUUUUCCAUUGUGGAUUUUGUUUUUAACCUCUUUUAACUUUGUGGGUCAAGCAUGUUUUUCUUUUUGAAGAUUCUACCGCUAUAUCUUGGAAGAGCAUAAUUUUAAUUAUUUUAUGAUAAUCAAGAAUUAUAUGUGUGAUAAUCAUGUAUAUUUUGCAGUAUUUCAAUUAGAUUAGUAUAUAAAAUUAGUGAAUUACUAUGAAAUGUUGCGGUGAUGUUUAUUUAACAGUACGAACUUAUCUAUAUGCAUGUACAAGUUUGAAUAAAUGGGAUGUAUACAUACGGUAUAUAUGUGUUUGUAUAUAAGGUGACUGAUGAAGUGAUGGCUCCAAGGACAAUGACUGCUUGAAGCUUUCGUUAGCAUUUCAAACAUCAUUUGCUAAGCAUUUGAUGUCACAUUUUGGAGGAUUAUCAUUUUUUUGAUGAUAUUUUUUGGAAGAUUAUCAUUAUCCCUUGUGGGCUUAUAUCCUUUUUAAACUAAUAUUUUUUGCA